rnacentral:rRNA from 1 species
UACGUAGGGUGCAAGCGUUGUCCGGAAUUAUUGGGCGUAAAGAGCUCGUAGGCGGUCUGUCGCGUCGGAUGUGAAAACCCAGGGCUCAACCCUGGGCCUGCAUUCGAUACGGGCAGACUAGAGUUCGGUAGGGGAGACUGGAAUUCCUGGUGUAGCGGUGAAAUGCGCAGAUAUCAGGAGGAACACCGGUGGCGAAGGCGGGUCUCUGGGCCGACGCUGAGGCGCGAGAGCGCGGGGAGCAAACAGG